rnacentral:tRNA from 1 species
GGGGUUUUAGUUUAAUCGGUUGAACGGGAGUUUUGCAUACUUUAGGAAUUGGUUCAAGCCCAAUAAACUCCA